rnacentral:rRNA from 1 species
UACGAAGGGUGCAAGCGUUACUCGGAAUUACUGGGCGUAAAGCGUGCGUAGGUGGUUUGUUAAGUCUGUUGUGAAAGCCCCGGGCUCAACCUGGGAAUGGCAAUGGAUACUGGCAAGCUAGAGUGCGGUAGAGGGUAGUGGAAUUCCCGGUGUAGCGGUGAAAUGCGUAGAGAUCGGGAGGAACACCAGUGGCGAAGGCGGCUACCUGGACCAGCACUGACGCUCAGGCACGAAAGCGUGGGGAGCAAACAGG